AUACGGAGGGUCCAAGCGUUAUCCGGAUUCAUUGGGUUUAAAGGGUCCGCAGGCGGGAAAAUAAGUCAGUGGUGAAAGCCUACAGCUCAACUGUAGAACUACCAUUGAUACUGUUUUUCUUGAGUAUAGAUGAAGUGGGCGGAAUAUAUCAUGUAGCGGUGAAAUGCAUAGAUAUGAUAUAGAACACCGAUUGCGAAGGCAGCUCACUAAACUAUUACUGACGCUCAGGGACGAAAGCGUGGGGAGCGAACAGGAUUAGAAACCCCAGUAGUCC
rnacentral:rRNA from 1 species